AAGAGGCAUCGACGUGGUCAAUAUUGGUUGGGUGAUGAACAAAAUUGUCGUUUUGCUUCUCCUCCUCUCUUUCUCUUUCGCGACGAACUCUUUCUCUCCUUCUCAAUUCUCUUUGUAGCGACUCUUUCUUAUUGAAAAUCUUAGUAGUAUCAAGCCGUUUUAACCAGUCACAUGUCAUGGCUUCUCCUCUCGCUCCCAGAUUCUUACAAGCCCUAACCCAAUUCUCUAAUUCUCCGUUUCUCUCUCCAUGUUCUGUUUUUAGGUUUAAACGCAUCUUUACUGAGAAAUUGAGAAAGGCUGUGAUGAGCUGUACUGAAUGCAAGAACAAGCUGCAAGUCAUGAUCUCAGCUGACAAUGUAUGUUUUGCGACUGCUAUUACUUCUUCUCAGCUUAACAUCUACAUAAAUUCCAGUGUGAUCUCAGGAUAUUGCAGCAAAAAUCUCAGGAUAUUUUCAGCAUUUUUGUUGUCUUAAUCUCAUGAUAUUGGAGCAAAAAUCUUUCCAAGCAGAAGCUUUCUUCAUGGCUUAUUCAGGUGAUGAUGAGUCUUUGCAGAAUGAGAAUGUCAAUCAAGUCAAUGGCUAUCCAAAUGCUUGAUGGAAUGUGUAAAGUUGAUUUAAAUGAUUGUUUUGAAUCUCUUUGUUUAUAGUCAUGAAUCUCUGUUUUGAAUCUCUGUUUUUCUGUCAAUGAAUCUAUGUUUUGCAUUUGACAAGUUUUUGAUGUGAAUAUAAACUCUUCAAAAAGAAUUCUUAAGAACCCCUCA